rnacentral:rRNA from 1 species
UACAGAGGGUGCGAGCGUUAAUCGGAAUUACUGGGCGUAAAGCGUGCGUAGACGGUAGCGUAAGUCAGAUGUGAAAGCCCCGGGCUCAACCUGGGAAUUGCAUUUGAGACUGCUCUGCUCGGGUGCGGAAGAGGGAAGCGGAAUUUCCGGUGUAGCGGUGAAAUGCGUAGAUAUCGGGAGGAACACCUGUGGCGAAAGCGGCUCACUGGACCAUAACUGACGCUGAUGCACGAAAGCUGGGGGAGCAAACAGG